GAUGAAGAACGUAGCGAAAUGCGAUAAGUAAUGUGAAUUGCAGAAUUCAGUGAAUCAUCGAAUCUUUGAACGCACAUUGCGCCCCUUGGUAUUCCGGGGGGCAUGCCUGUUCGAGCGUCCUUUCAACCCUCAAGCUCUGCUUGGUAUUGGGCUCCGUCCUCCUCGGACGCGCCUCAAAGACCUCGGCGGUGGCGUCUUGCCUCAAGCGUAGUAGAAACACCUCGCUUUGGAGUGCAUGGCGUCGCCCGCCGGACGAAACCUUUUGUAUUUUCUCAAAGGUUGACCUCGGAUCAGGUAGGGAUACCCGCUGAACUUAAGCAUAUCAAUAAGCGGAGGA
rnacentral:misc_RNA from 1 species